GUCUCUCUCUCUCUCUCUCAUGUUGUUUUGGCUUGGUGUUAACCUACUUUUCUUUUGCAGGAAUAGUAUUUUACCAGGAAUUCCAGGGCUUGGCUUUGCUCAAUAUUUUAAUGUUUCUCUUUGGCUGCCUGCUCUCAUUCAUUGGCGUCUUCCUGAUAGCCAGAGACAGACCCAAGAUCAAGACUGAAAACAUUACCUUUAUAGCCAUGGGGAAAAUACCAGGGAGAAAAUGUAAGGACAAGGUCCAGCCGGAGGCUAAAAGCAACACGUACGGAUCUCUGGCAGCUAAACUCAUGUGUAACAAACCUGGCCCACAGGACGACUCCUAAUAUCAGCCACACCUGUCUGUCUGUGUACAGAGACUACCUGUGUCAACACUACACAUCUCUCUCCUGGGUUGCCAGACUGACUGACUACAGGGACAAAGUGAGAGCACUGUCUCCAUUAGCAAAAAAAUUCCCCAGAUUUUCCAGAAAUCCUAGUAUCUUCUAACUCGAUCCUGAUUCCAGGAGACUUGCCAGAAGCAGGAUUUCUGGGGAAAACCUGGAUAUCUUUGGGAAGGUUACAAUUGUCAGGGAAUUGAACUCUGUUGCUACAGAUACUGAGGAGACGUCUCAGGAUCGAACCCAAAUGCACUACAGACACAAAUAAAACUUUAUUUAAUUCUCAAGGAGGUGGCUGUCUGGAGUAACCACCUGAUAUUCUCUGUUAAUACGAAAGCAACUGUUGGAUCGAAUUUCUGAUGAGAUGGUUUCAAUCAUUGAUUUGUUAAUAAACUGGAAUGUGAUAUUUAAAGUG